GACGAACGCUGGCGGCAUGCUUAACACAUGCAAGUCGAACGGCAACGCCCUACUUUUGUGGGGUGCUCGAGUGCCGAACGGGUGCGUAACACGCGAGUAACCUAACCUUGUCUUUGGGAUAACUUCAGGUAACUGGGGCUACUCCCGUAUCGCAGCUCCUGCUGCAUGGUGGGGGUUGGAACGUUUCGGCUGGUGGGGAUGGACUCGCGGCUUAUCAGCUUGUUGGUGGGGUAGUGGCUUACCAAGGCUUUGGCCGAUAGCCGGCCUGAGAGGGUGACCGGCCACAAUGCGACUGAGAUACGGCCCAGACGGCUACGGUGGGCAGCAGUGGGGAAUAUGGCACAAUGGGCGGAAGCCUGAUGCAGCAACGCCGCGGGUGGGAUGACGGCCUUCGGGGUGAAAACCGCUGUCGCCUGUGACGAAGCGGGAGUGACGGUAAUGGGUAAAGAAGCACCGGCUAACUACGUG
rnacentral:rRNA from 1 species